AGACUCUGGAGAGAGAUGUUUAACAUCCGCCGAAGGGAUAGCGAUCUCAGGCAAAAGGACAGAGGGGG
rnacentral:ncRNA from 1 species